rnacentral:rRNA from 1 species
AACGAACGCUGGCGGCAUGCCUAACACAUGCAAGUCGAACGAGACCUCCGGGUCUAGUGGCGCAUGGGUGCGUAAAGCGUGGGAACCUGCCCUUAGGCUCGGAAUUACACCCCUUCAGGGGUGCUAAUACAGGAUAACGUACUCGGAUAACAGAUUCAUCGCACUUGGAUGGGCCGGCGUUGGUUUAGCCUGUGGCUAGGGUAAAAGCCUACCAAGGCGAGGAUCCAUAGCUGGUCUGAGAGGAUGAGAAGCCACACUGGGGCUAGGACACGGCCCAGAAUACUACGGGAGGCAGCAGUGGGGAAUAUUGCACUAUGGGCGAGAGCCAGAUGCAGCUAUGCCUGGUGAGUGAUGAAGUCGUGAGGGAAGUAAAGCUCUUUUACCCGGGAUUGUAAUGACGGUACCGGGAGAAUAAGCACCGGCUAACUCCGUG